rnacentral:rRNA from 1 species
UACGUAGGGUCCGAGCGUUGUCCGGAAUUAUUGGGCGUAAAGGGCUCGUAGGCGGUUUGUCACGUCGGGAGUGAAAACUCAGGGCUCAACCCUGAGCGUGCUUCCGAUACGGGCAGACUAGAGGUAUGCAGGGGAGAACGGAAUUCCUGGUGUAGCGGUGGAAUGCGCAGAUAUCAGGAGGAACACCGGUGGCGAAGGCGGUUCUCUGGGCCGAUACUGACGCUGAGGAGCGAAAGCGUGGGGAGCGAACAGG